AUCCAGUUGACGAGUCCCAAAUAGGACAAAACGCGCGUUUGGAU
rnacentral:hammerhead_ribozyme from 1 species